rnacentral:lncRNA from 1 species
AUGGCCGGAUUGUCUUGAGGAAGAAGACAAUCCCAUGGCCGUUGGAUCACUUUGACCUUAUUUGAAAUGGAUGCUCAAGAUUCAUCCAUGUGUUUUCUUGCUUGGACCAAUCUCAUCCAUCCAUUGCAUGUUUGACUUGUUGACUUUUUUUUUUGAUCCAAAAGCCCAUAUAUUUUCUGAUUUUCGUUUUUAUUUAUUUUUAUUAGCCACUU